AACGAACGCUGGCGGCAGGCUUAACACAUGCAAGUCGAACGCCCCGCAAGGGGAGUGGCAGACGGGUGAGUACCGCGUGGGAACAUACCCUUUUCUACGGAAUAGCUCUGGGAAACUGGAAUUAAUACCGUAUACGCCCUACGGGGGAAAGAUUUAUCGGGGAAGGAUUGGCCCGCGUUGGAUUAGCUAGUUGGCGGGGUAAGGGCCUACCAAGGCGACGAUCCAUAGCUGGUCUGAGAGGAUGAUCAGCCACAUUGGGACUGAGAAACGGCCCAAACUCCUACGGGAGGCAGCAGUGGGGAAUAUUGGACAAUCGGCGCAAGCCUGAUCCAGCCAGGCCGCGUGAGUGAUGAAGGCCUUAGGGUUGUAAAGCUCUUUAACCGAUGAAGAUAAUGACGGUAGUCGGAGAAGAAGCCCCGGCUAACUUCGUG
rnacentral:rRNA from 1 species